rnacentral:lncRNA from 1 species
UUUACUCUAUCUCAUCCACAUAUAAUCUAUCAUAUAUUCUAUUCUUACAAUUUUUCAAGUUACACAUAAUAAUAAAUUUGAAUAACUUCUAUAUGUAACCUAUUAAAUAUUUUUAUUUUAUCAAAUGUUUAACCUUUUUGUAUAUAAUUUUGUUAUCAAUAAAAUAGUGUAAUCAUUACUAUUAUCUUUUCACUUUUUUUACUUUNUUAAUCAAUUUUUUAAUUCUCUUUUCAAUUCAUUGAUAAUUUUUAUUUUCUCUUUUUUNAAAAACAACGUUAUCAAUGAAAAUAAUGAAAAAUUAAAAAAAAAAGUUGAUUAGUUAGUUAAAAUUAAAAUCANGAAAAUAAUUAUUAUAGCCCUUGACAAGAAAAAGUAAAUAAAAGAACAAUACAAUUAAACAAAAAUAAACAAGAUUUUAAAUCUUUGUAUUAAAAGUUUGUUUAUUCUAUUUGUAUUUCACCUUUUGCAAUUCUAAUUAAUUAUAGAGGAAUAGUGACUUCCAUUCCAUACAAUUUUUAUUCCAAAUAAAAAAAGAAAUUUUUUAUUCCAAAUAAAAAAGAAAUUGUUUUACAAAACUUGCAAUCAAAAUGAUUUAAUUUCAUAUUAUAAUAUAAAGUUACUUUGUUAUUAGAUAGUGUUAAAAUCAGAUUUUAGAAUUAGUGCAGUGUUAAAAUUANUACAAUUCAAUUUAAAAUUAGUAGUUCAGUUAAAAUUAGUGUAGUUUACAAUUCAGAGUUAAUAGUUCAAUGAGUGUAAUUUACAAUUCAGUUAAUAGUUCAGUGCAGUUUACAGUUUAGUUAAUAAUUCAGUUAGUGCAGUCUACAAUUCAGUUAAUAGUUCAGUUCAGUUAGUGCAGUUUACAGUUCAGUUAAUAGUUCAAUUAGUGCAGUUUACAAUUCAGUUAAUAGUUCAAUUCAAUUUAUACUGUAGUUUAUUACAAUUUAGUAGAGUUCAGUUCAGUUUGAUAAAACAAAAAACAGUUCAGUUCAGUUUGUCUGAACUGUUUUACAGUUCAGUUUAAACAAAUUAGAUUUUAGUUCAGCACAGUUUUUAGCAAUGCAGUUCAGUUCAGUUCGAUUUGUUCACCCUAAGAUGUACUGCCGUGGCACAACUCCCUAUAUAUAUAGAUAGGUAAAAAUAUCAAUUUGUGCAAGACCACUAUCAAUUGCUAAACUUCAUACAUACAUAUAGAUAGGUAAAAUUAUNAAUUGUGUAGACUACUAUUACAAAAAGCGUAUAGAUUUCCAUAAAUUUUUGUAAAUAUCUUACAAAAGUAAAUAAAUAUAUCUUUUAUUUUUCAUCUCUAUAGUUAUUAUCG